rnacentral:rRNA from 1 species
AUGGAUAUGGGACACGAAAUACCAAAAAAAUUGGGUGUACUUUCUGCUCAUGGAGAUGGGGAACCUCCUAAAAUCCUUGAUGCUGGUUAUGUGAAAGAUAUUAUGUAUUAUUUUAAUAAUCCUGAGAAAACCUCAUUCAAUUAUGUAAUGGGAGUAACAUUGGAUCAACGUGAAUACUUUAGGGAUUACCGCUUGACACAAAAAGAGAAACUAUUAUGGGAUCAAAUUCAUAUAUUGAAUUGGUAUGCUAGGCAACUAUGCUUGAGAUAUGAUUAUACUUGUUGCUCUAGGAUGAAGGCUCCACACCUUCCCUUUUUAUGCGAAUUUAAUGAUAAUAAAACCUUAGCUUCUUAUGCUAAUGGUAUAUAUGAUUACUAUGAUGUGGAACAAAUAGAAGAAUUUGUUGCUUUUAUGGGUGCUUAUGAAAUUGAAUCUAUGUUUAAAGAGUUUGAAGAUUUUGAUGAUUCGGUUUAUAGACCUGAAAAUUUAGCUAUCCUUAAAUAUUGCUAUGAGAAUUAG